rnacentral:rRNA from 1 species
GCACGAGGGAGAAUCGAAUCAGUGAUUACAUCAAUUUGCAUUCAGUAUUUUUCACUUCACUUCUGUCAUAUUUAUUACCAUUCGUUUGCAAAUAUUAGAAUAUAAGAAAACAUAAUAAACGUUUACAUCUUCGUACAUUUACGAGAUACAUACAUUUAAAUGUUAAUGUCAAAUAAUUCUUCAGGCUAAGCUGAAGGGAACAACUAAAGGUUUAUUAAUAAAAUAAAUGGAAAGUGGGCUUAAAGGAGCUAUCUUUUUAGAGUGGGUUAAUCCUCAAUAUUUUUUAUUAGUGAUCGUAUUUUAUUCCUUUUGUUUGAACGGAACCUCUUCACGAAACUAAAAUGUGAGGGUGAUAAUGUAAAGAUGAGUAGCUAAAUAUGUGGGGUUUGUUAAUUCGGGAAAUUAGACGUAAAACAAAUAAUCUUGAUAAGCAAAGCUAAAGGAACUCGGCAAAAAUGAAAACCGCCUGUUUAACAAAAACAUGGCUCCUUGAUAACAUAAGGAGUCGUGCCUUCCCGGUGAGUUUAAGCUUAAACGGAUGCGGUAAAGCGUGCUAAGGUAGCUAAGUUAUGGCCU